GUCACCGUCGGUCACAAGCGUCGGGCUGUCGGUGACGAGGAGUCGGGUGGGACAGAAGUCUGUAAACAAACGCCUGUGACAGAGAAGCUCACCAUAAUAAACGGACAAUUAUCACGUUAUUGGUGAUUGGAAAAUAGGUGAUUUAGGAGAUUUUACAACAAAUCUUUGGGAAAUUGAACUGCACUAUCACAGCUGAAAAUGACCAGCUGGAGCAUGGAACAAGAGCUGCCACCACCACCAUGGCACUAUCACCAUCACCUAUGGCAAGAGAGGUUUUCUCCCUUGCUGUUAAUCAAGAAAUCUGGCUUUAUAAAACAAUAUUGUAUACCGGUAUGUGUGAAUGUGUAGACACACACACACACACACCACUAGAUGUCUCCAUGACCACGUGAGGUCCUUCAUAUCAACACCCGAGGACGAGUUACUGCAUCAGGUGGCCUACGUGACCUCACACAGUAAGGCAAGUGACCAGCCCGAGCCAUCAUCUGCAACUAUAAUAAUUUGUGGUGUUGGAGCAUCUAUAAUCAGAUGAAAUAAACUGGGGGCUAACCUUCAUGUGAACCUGAACAACUGCCUUACAAUAACAUCUACAAGCAUUAAUCAUUCCUAAGCUGGUGUAUGAUAAGACUUCAUGAUAAUGCAAUUGAGACUUUUCAGAAGAUUUUGAAUAAAUUGGAACUGAUUAGUCCUUGCUCUUCUGCCUUGGCCAUACAGGGAGCAACAACAGACUACCAGGUCAAGCUGUGGAAUCAAGAACAGUACUGGGCUUCAAAAUAGCCCUCGAAAAAAUUUGAAAAACAAUGAAGGGGUUCACCCUUAAGCAUUGCCACCUCGAGGGUGACUGUUAGGUAAAUAAGGUAUGAAACUGAUAAAUUUUCCCAAACAAGGGAGAAAGUAACAAAUGGUUCAACACUUGCCAGGCAACACAAUAAAUAAGACCAUAAUGUACUGAAUUUUGUAUGCUGUUCUGUAUACAGUAUAGUACUGUUCUCCUGUUACAACACUCGGUAAUUAAAAUUCAUUUGUGUACCAUGUUAUUUCUUGUUUUGGGGAACCAUGCAUCUUUUGUGUAAGAUGUUACAUUUAUUCCUACAGUUAUUUAUCUACCUAUGUAAUAAAGCAGCCAUAUUGUUUUCACAUAAAAAGUGUGAUGACUGCCAAGUGUCACCACACUGGGCCAUGUUACUGACUAUGGGAUGAGUCAAAGCUUUAGUUGUUUGAUUCCAUUCUGAUAGGUGAAUCAGUUUGUGGACAGUAUGGUUGUUGGCUGAGAGUUCAUAUUGUCUUUACUUAUAUUAUUGUGUUCCUGCUCCAUUAGGUUAAGUAUUAUAUAUAUUGUAAUGAUUAAAUUGUAUUGUGUGUGGAUGGGUAAGUUUUCAUACUGAGAAACCUAAUUAAUUAUUGUCAUUAUUGUUUGCAGAACACAUUGUAAAUAGUUUCAUUUAAUUAUAUUAACUUAUUUUA